GCUUGCUGGAUGCUGACGAGCGGCGGACGGGUGAGUAAUGCAUAGGAAUCUGCCCGAUAGUGGGGGAUAACCUGGGGAAACCCAGGCUAAUACCGCAUACGUCCUACGGGAGAAAGGGGGCUCCGGCUCCCGCUAUGGGAUGAGCCUAUGUCGGAUUAGCUAGUUGGUGAGGUAACGGCUCACCAAGGCCACGAUCCGUAGCUGGUCUGAGAGGAUGAUCAGCCACAUCGGGACUGAGACACGGCCCGAACUCCUACGGGAGGCAGCAGUGGGGAAUAUUGGACAAUGGGGGAAACCCUGAUCCAGCCAUGCCGCGUGUGUGAAGAAGGCCCUCGGGUUGUAAAGCACUUUCAGCGAGGAAGAACGCCUAACGGUUAAUACCCGCUAGGAAAGACAUCACUCGCAGAAGAAGCACCGGCUAACUCCGUGCCAGCAGCCGCGGUAAUACGGAGGGUGCAAGCGUUAAUCGGAAUUACUGGGCGUAAAGCGCGCGUAGGUGGCUUGAUAAGCCGGUUGUGAAAGCCCCGGGCUCAACCUGGGAACGGCAUCCGGAACUGUCAAGCUAGAGUGCAGGAGAGGAAGGUAGAAUUCCCGGUGUAGCGGUGAAAUGCGUAGAGAUCGGGAGGAAUACCAGUGGCGAAGGCGGCCUUCUGGACUGACACUGACACUGAGGUGCGAAAGCGUGGGUAGCAAACAGGAUUAGAUACCCUGGUAGUCCACGCCGUAAACGAUGUC
rnacentral:rRNA from 1 species